rnacentral:rRNA from 1 species
AUUGAACGCUGGCGGCAUGCCUUACACAUGCAAGUCGAACGGCAGCACGGGGGCAACCCUGGUGGCGAGUGGCGAACGGGUGAGUAAUACAUCGGAACGUGCCCGAUAGUGGGGGAUAGCUCGGCGAAAGCCGGAUUAAUACCGCAUACGACCUACGGGUGAAAGCGGGGGAUCGCAAGACCUCGCGCUAUCAGAGCGGCCGAUGUCAGAUUAGGUUGUUGGUGGGGUAAAGGCCUACCAAGCCGACGAUCUGUAGCUGGUCUGAGAGGACGACCAGCCACACUGGGACUGAGACACGGCCCAGACUCCUACGGGAGGCAGCAGUGGGGAAUUUUGGACAAUGGGCGAAAGCCUGAUCCAGCCAUGCCGCGUGCGGGAAGAAGGCCU